CUUGCUUCAGCAACACAGACUAAACUUAGAGUGACACAGCCAUAUAUCAGAAUGGCUCCUGUGUAAGGAUGACAUACAGAUUUGUGGUACAUUCCUAUUUCUU
ensembl:snRNA U6 U6 spliceosomal RNA